rnacentral:rRNA from 1 species
UACGGGGGGGGGCAAGCGUUGUUCGGAAUUACUGGGCGUAAAGGGCUCGUAGGCGGCCAACUAAGUCAGACGUGAAAUCCCCAGGCUUAACCUGGGAACUGCGUCUGAUACUGGAUGGCUUGAAUCGGGAGAGGGAUGCAGAAUUCCAGGUGUAGCGGUGAAAUGCGUAGAUAUCUGGAGGAAUACCGGUGGCGAAGGCGGCAUCCUGGACCGGCAUUGACGCUGAGGAGCGAAAGCUAGGGGAGCAAACGGG